GGAUAACUUACCCUUAGGACUGGGAUAACUCUGGGAAACUGGGGAUAAUACUGGAUAUUAGGUUAUGGCUGGAAUGCUUUGCCUUUGAAAUGUUUCUUGUAUUCGCCUAAGGAUAGAUCUGCGGCUGAUUAGGUCGUUGGUGGGGUAAUGGCCCACCAAGCCGAUGAUCGGUACGGGUUGUGAGAGCAAGAGCCCGGAGAUGGAACCUGAGACAAGGUUCCAGACCCUACGGGGUGCAGCAGGCGCGAAACCUCCGCAAUGUACGAAAGUGCGACGGGGGGAUCCCAAGUGUUAUGCUUUUUUUGUAUAACUUUUCAUUAGUGUAAAAAGCUUUUAGAAUAAGAGCUGGGCAAGACCGGUGCCAGCCGCCGCGGUAACACCGGCAGCUCGAGUGGUAGCUGUUUUUAUUGGGCCUAAAGCGUUCGUAGCCGGUUUGAUAAGUCUUUGGUGAAAGCUUGUAGCUUAACUAUAAGAAUUGCUGGAGAUACUAUUAGACUUGAAGUCGGGAGAGGUUAGAGGUACUACCGGGGUAGGGGUGAAAUCCUAUAAUCCUGGGAGGACCACCUGUGGCGAAGGCGUCUAACUGGAACGAUCUUGACGGUGAGUAACGAAAGCCAGGGGCGCGAACCGGAUUAGAUACCCGGGUAGUCCUGGCCGUAAACGAUGUAGACUUGGUGUUGGAAUGGCUUUGGGUUGUUCCGGUGCCGAAGGGAAGCUGUUAAGUCUACCGCCUGG
rnacentral:rRNA from 1 species